UACGUAGGGCGCAAGCGUUGUCCGGAAUUAUUGGGCGUAAAGAGCUCGUAGGUGGCGUGUCGCGUCUGCCGUGAAAGCCCAUGGCUUAACUGUGGGUCUGCGGUGGAUACGGGCAGGCUGGAGGCUGGUAGGGGCAAGCGGAAUUCCUGGUGUAGCGGUGAAAUGCGUAGAUAUCGGGAGGAACACCAGUGGCGAAGGCGGCUUCCUGGCCUGUUCUUGACGCUGAGGCGCGAAAGCUAGGGUAGCAAACGGG
rnacentral:rRNA from 1 species